CUCAGUGAAUGGAGAGAGCGAACGCCGGCCAGCUCGCCUGGCCGCCCCGUACCCCGGCCGCCGCCGCCGCACGCCAGAGCCCAGCCCGGAGCCCGACCUCCCCGGGCGCCGUGCCCCACCGCGCUCGCCCCAGCUCCCCGACCCGGCGCGCAGCCCGAGCGGCCCGCACGCGGGCCAAGGGACGCCCGGCACCUGGGCACUUGGAGCGAUGCGCGGCGGGGCACCGCUGGCCCCGCCGAUGGAGCUGCUGCCGCCGCCGCCCGGCGCGCCCUGCUCCGCCCGCGCCCCGUGCGCCUGAGCGCCGCGCUCGCCCCUCCUCCGCGCCAACUCCGCCGCCCGCUCCCAGGCCGCCCGCGCUCCCCGCGCGCCUGCUCGCGCUCCCCGCGUCCUGCCCCGCCGAGGCAGCCUCCUUUGGGCGCGGGCCCCUGCGCACCAUGGCCCCCGGGCGCUCAGGGGCCGGCGCCGCUGUGCGCGCCCGCCUGGCGCUGGCCUUGGCGCUGGCGAGCGUCCUGAGCUGGCCCCCUGCCGUCGCCUGCCCCACCAAGUGUACCUGCUCCGCCGCCAGCGUGGACUGCCACGGUCUGGGCCUACGAGCGGUUCCCCGGGGCAUCCCCCGCAACGCCGAGCGCCUUGACCUGGACAGAAAUAAUAUCACCAGGAUCACCAAGAUGGACUUUGCUGGGCUAAAGAACCUCCGAGUAUUGCAUCUGGAAGACAACCAGGUCAGCAUCAUCGAGAGAGGCGCCUUCCAGGAUCUGAAGCAGCUGGAGCGAUUGCGUCUCAAUAAGAAUAAGCUCCAGGUCCUUCCAGAAUUGCUUUUCCAGAGCACACCGAAGCUCACCAGACUAGAUCUGAGUGAAAACCAGAUCCAGGGGGUCCCGAGGAAGGCGUUCCGCGGCAUCGCCGACGUGAAGAAUCUGCAACUGGAUAACAAUCGCAUCAGCUGCAUUGAAGAUGGAGCCUUCCGAGCGCUGCGCGACCUGGAGAUCCUCACCCUCAAUAACAACAACAUCAGCCGCAUCCUGGUCACGAGCUUCAACCACAUGCCGAAGAUCCGGACUCUGCGUCUUCACUCCAACCACCUGUACUGCGACUGCCACCUGGCCUGGCUCUCGGAUUGGCUGCGCCAGCGGCGGACAAUUGGCCAGUUCACCCUCUGCAUGGCUCCUGUGCACCUGAGGGGCUUCAACGUGGCAGACGUGCAGAAAAAGGAGUACGUGUGUUCAGGUUCCCACUCGGAGGCGCCCUCCUGCACUGCCAACUCCCUCUCCUGCCCUCCCUCCUGCACCUGCAGCAACAACAUCGUGGACUGCCGGGGGAAAGGCCUGACGGAGAUCCCCGCCAACCUGCCCGAGGGCAUCGUGGAGAUACGUCUAGAACAGAAUUCCAUCAGAUCCAUCCCUGCAGGAGCCUUCACCCAGUACAAGAAGCUGAAGCGAAUAGACAUCAGCAAGAAUCAGAUAUCAGACAUCGCUCCAGACGCCUUCCAGGGCCUGAAGUCGCUCACAUCGCUGGUACUAUACGGGAACAAGAUCACUGAGAUUGCCAAGGGACUGUUCGAUGGACUGGUGUCCUUACAGCUGCUCCUCCUCAAUGCCAACAAGAUCAACUGCCUGCGGGUGAACACCUUCCAGGACCUGCAGAACCUAAACCUGCUCUCCCUCUACGACAACAAGCUGCAGACCAUCAGCAAGGGGCUCUUCGCGCCUCUGCAGUCCAUCCAGACACUCCACUUAGCCCAAAACCCGUUUGUGUGCGACUGCCACUUGAAGUGGCUGGCCGAGUACCUCCAGGACAACCCCAUCGAGACGAGCGGGGCCCGCUGCAGCAGCCCGCGCCGGCUGGCCAACAAGCGCAUCGGCCAGACCAAGAGCAAGAAGUUCCGCUGCUCAGGCUCCGAGGAUUACCGCAGCAGGUUGAGCAGCGAGUGCUUCAUGGACCUCGCGUGCCCGGAGAGGUGCCGCUGUGAGGGGACCAUCGUGGACUGUUCCAGCCAGAAGCUGGCCCGCAUCCCGAGCCACCUGCCCGAGCACACCACCGACCUGCGACUGAACGACAAUGAGAUUUCGGUGCUGGAGGCCACGGGGAUCUUCAAGAAGCUGCCCAACCUGCGGAAAAUAAACCUGAGCAACAACAAGAUCAAGGAGGUUCGAGAGGGCGCCUUCGAUGGGGCGGCCGGCGUGCAGGAGCUGAUGCUGACGGGGAACCAGCUGGAGGCCGCGCACGGGCGCAUGUUCCGCGGCCUCAGCGGCCUCAAGACCCUGAUGCUGAGGAGCAACCUGAUCAGCUGCGUGGGCAACGACACCUUCGCAGGCCUGAGUUCUGUGCGGCUGCUGUCCCUCUAUGACAACCGGAUCACCACCAUCACCCCCGGGGCCUUCACCACACUGGUCUCCCUGUCCACCAUAAACCUCCUGUCCAACCCCUUCAACUGCAACUGCCACCUGGCCUGGCUCGGCAGGUGGCUGAGGAAGAGGCGGGUGGUCAGCGGGAACCCCAGGUGCCAGAAGCCCUUCUUCCUCAAGGAGAUCCCCAUCCAGGACGUGGCCAUCCAGGACUUCACCUGUGACGGCAACGAAGAGAGCAGCUGCCUGCUGAGCCCGCGCUGCCCAGAGCAGUGCACCUGCCUGGAGACGGUGGUGCGGUGCAGCAACAAGGGCCUCCGCGCCCUCCCCAAAGGCGUGCCCAAGGACACGACUGAGCUGUACCUGGAAGGAAACCACUUGACAGCUGUGCCCAGGGAGCUGUCUGCCCUCCGACACCUGACGCUCAUUGACCUGAGCAACAACAGCAUCGGCAUGCUGACCAAUUUCACCUUCAGUAACAUGUCCCACCUCUCUACUCUGAUCCUGAGUUACAACCGGCUGAGGUGCAUCCCUGUCCAUGCCUUCGUCGGGCUGAGAUCUCUCCGCGUGCUAACCCUCCAUGGCAACGACAUCUCCACUGUUCCCGAAGGCUCCUUCAAUGACCUGACAUCCCUUUCCCACCUGGCACUGGGAACCAACCCGCUGCACUGUGACUGCAAUCUCCGUUGGUUGUCAGAGUGGGUGAAGGCCGGGUACAAGGAACCCGGCAUCGCCCGCUGCAGCAGCCCCGAGUCCAUGGCUGACAGACUCUUGCUCACCACCCCCACCCACCGGUUCCAGUGCAAAGGUCCAGUGGAUAUCAACAUCGCGGCCAAGUGCAACGCCUGCCUCUCCAGCCCGUGCAAGAACAAUGGCACGUGCAGUCAGGACCCUGUGGAGCAGUACCGCUGCACCUGCCCCUACAGCUACAAGGGCAAGGACUGCACGGUGCCCAUCAACACCUGCAUCCAGAACCCCUGCCAGCACGGAGGCACCUGCCACCUGAGCGAGAGCCACAAGGAGGGAUUCAGCUGCUCCUGCCCUCUGGGCUUCGAGGGGCAGCGCUGCGAGGUCAACCCCGACGACUGCGAGGACAACGACUGCGAGAACAACGCCACCUGCGUGGACGGGGUCAACAACUACGCCUGCGUGUGCCCCCCCAACUUCACAGGUGAGCUGUGUGAUGAGGUGAUUGACCAUUGUGUGCCUGAGAUGAACCUCUGUCAGCACGAGGCCAAGUGCGUCUCCCUGGACAAAGGAUUCAGAUGCGAAUGCGUCCCUGGCUACAGCGGGAAGCUCUGUGAGACAGACAAUGACGACUGCGCAGCUCACAAGUGCCGCCACGGGGCCCAGUGUGUGGAUGCAGUCAAUGGCUACACCUGCAUCUGCCCCCAGGGCUUCAGUGGGCUCUUCUGCGAGCACCCCCCGCCCAUGGUUCUGCUGCAGACCAGCCCCUGUGACCAGUACGAGUGCCAGAACGGAGCCCAGUGCAUUGUGGUGCAGCAGGAGCCCACCUGCCGCUGUCCCCCAGGCUUUGCUGGCCCCAGAUGCGAGAAGCUCAUCACCGUGAACUUCGUGGGCAAAGACUCCUAUGUGGAACUGGCCUCCGCCAAGGUCCGGCCCCAGGCCAACAUCUCCCUGCAGGUGGCCACGGACAAGGACAACGGCAUCCUUCUCUACAAGGGAGACAACGAUCCCCUGGCGCUGGAGCUGUACCAGGGCCACGUGAGGCUGGUGUAUGACAGCCUGAGCUCCCCGCCCACCACGGUGUACAGUGUGGAGACUGUGAAUGAUGGGCAGUUUCACAGCGUGGAGCUGGUGAUGCUAAACCAGACCUUGAACCUGGUGGUAGACAAAGGAGCCCCGAAGAGCCUGGGGAAGCUCCAGAAGCAGCCCGCCGUGGGCAUCAACAGCCCCCUCUACCUUGGAGGCAUCCCCACCUCCAGCGGCCUCUCGGCCUUGCGCCAGGGCGCAGACCGACCGCUGGGUGGCUUCCACGGCUGCAUCCACGAGGUGCGCAUCAACAACGAGCUGCAGGACUUCAAGGCCCUCCCGCCACAGUCCCCAGGGGUCUCGCCAGGCUGCAAGUCCUGCACCGUGUGCCGGCACGGCCUGUGCCGCUCCGUGGAGAAGGACAGCAUGGUGUGUGAGUGCCACCCGGGCUGGACCGGCCCGCUGUGCGACCAGGAAGCCCGGGACCCCUGCCUCGGCCACAGCUGCAACCAUGGAAAAUGUGUGGCGACUGGAAGCUCGUACGUGUGCAAGUGUGCCGAGGGCUAUGGAGGGGCUCUGUGUGACCACAAGAACGACUCCGCCAAUGCCUGCUCAGCCUUCAAGUGCCACCACGGGCAGUGCCACAUCUCAGACCAAGGGCAGCCCCGCUGCCUGUGCCAGCCGGGCUUCAGUGGGGAGCACUGUGAGCAAGAGAGCCCAUGCCGGGGGGAGGUGGUGCGAGAGGCCAUCCGCCGCCAGAAAGGCUACGCGUCCUGUGCCACGGCCUCCAAGGUGCCGGUCAUGGAGUGUCGCGGGGGCUGCGGGGCGCAGUGCUGCCGGCCCACGCGCAGCAAGCGGCGGAAAUACGUCUUCCAGUGCGCGGACGGCUCCUCGUUCGUGGAGGAGGUGGAGAGACACCUGGAGUGCGGCUGCCACGCGUGCUCCUGAGCCCGCCGCCUGGGACUCCAGCUCCGCGGGGUGGGGACCGCCGGGCCGAGAUGGGAACGGAGGACAGGAAGGAAGCAAAAGAAGAAGAGAGUAUUAAGUAUAUUGUAAAAUAAACAAAAAAAAAUAGAACUUAUUUUUAUUAUGGAAAGUGACUAUUUUCAUCUUUUAUUAUAUAAAUAUAUCGCACCGUCUGAGUCCAUGGACUAUAUCGUCGUGAGUUAUUUUCACCGAGGAUAAGAAUAAAGACGGAGAACCUGCCCAGCGAGGAAGAGGAGGAAGCCCUUGUUUGCCAAGCGCCCCUGCCCGCAGAACCGGCCCUGCUUCGGUGCUCAGGAACUGCCAGAGGAAGAGAGGGAGACCGCUUGUUCUUUGUCUCUUGUUUUUAACUCCUUCUUCUCUCUUCCCUAAACGCACGCAGCUUUUAAGGGCCCCAGCUGUCUCUGCCCAGGAUGCCCAUCUCUUCCAGAGAAAGCUUCUCGAGGCUUGCUGAAGCUCAAAACCAUUGCUGCCCAUCUGCCCUGGGGCCCUGCAGGGUCUGAGCCCACAGGAGACCUCUUUUCUCCUUCCUGGAUGGCCCUGGUUUCCCUGAGGGGACUGGCCCUCUGAACUUUGCCCAGCACUUAAUCUGGGUCUGUUUUCCAAAUUUUGAAACAGCUGCUCUUCUCCUGCCCCUCCUGGGUCCUCCGGGGUGAGGCCAGGGAAGAGGGCCUGGCAGUCUCCCAGGUACCAGGCACUCAGAGAGCGCCCAUCCUCCACCCCAGCCAGUUCCACCCAGGAGAGGAGAGAGUGAGGGCUUCUGGCACAAGGAAGGCCACAGCCAGGCUGCCCAGAGCCCACAGAUGUCCAGCCGACAGGCCUCUGAUGCCUGGUCCUCCUGGUCCUGUCAUGGUGACAAAGACUCACUGUCUAGCUGCUGCACUUUCCAGAGCAUAUCCAAACAACUUCAUCUACCAACCCCGCUCUCCAGGGCGGGAAGAGCAGUGAGCACAUUUCGUAGACGGGACCCUCGUCCCACCCAGGCUCUGUAAGUUGCCGUCAGUCAACCAUCUGGCAAGUGGGGAUCCAGAGCUGGAGUGCAGCCUGGAAGCUCUAGACUCUUCUCCGGAGCAGGUAAAUAGGAGAUUCAGGCAGAGUUCAUCCGGAAAGGAAAGUGAAUGCUUUUCCCUGCUUUUUCUUUCCGGCCCUUGUUCUGCCUUGUUCAUUCCUGAGUCUGUUUUCCUUUUAUCCAGAAGAACUGUAGAGACAGAGUCUUGUGUAUUCAGGAAACAUGAGCAAAGGGAGCUCGUUGGGCCUGACUGUUCCUACAGGGCCUUCCCGCACCCGCCCUCCCCUGCCCCGCAUCCAGUGCACAUCCCCUGGAUCCCCACUGUUCCCACCAACCCCUGGCUCCUGGCCUAGGAGCCUCCACUGCUGGAGCUUCAGGAAGCAGAACUUGGGACCUUCCAGCUCGAGGUCCCCAGUGGAGCCACGUGGCUCUGUGAGGAUGCGUGGUCAGUCAGAGACUGAAGGAAUAAGAAGGGAGGGAGGCAAGGAAGAUGGAGGGACGAGGCAUGUGGAAGACAGGAUGAGCCAGGGAGAGAUGGAGGCACUUUCUCAAAGUGUGCACAGGCACUGUGUCCCGGGUGCUGCCUCGGGCUGGGCUUGCUUCCCAUGCUCAUAGCUCACAGUUAGAUUUACUUAGUGCUCACAGUGUUAUACACCAGAUAUCAUUCUAGUUGCUAUAUAUUUAUACAUAUAUUCAUCUAAUUCUCUAAACGACCCUUUAAUAAAAAUGUUAUUAACCCACCUACCAGUUGAAUAAACUGAGACAGAGAAGUUAAGGAACUUGUCCAAGAGAAGAUGGUUAAUGAAUUGCACAGCCAGGAUUUGAACCCAGGUUGUUAGACCGCAGAACACACCCACCUAAGCAUGACACUUCUUGUGGGAAAGAGUGUGUUCUACCCUUAAGGAGCCUCUGGUCGGGGACAGAAGCAAUUCCCUUAUUAUAUGUAACGGUUCCCUAAUGGCAGUAUAAAGAAGAGAGGUGGCUGUCCAGGACAGGGAAUUUCCAAUCCUGGGUCUUGGAGGAACCAGGGUCAGGAAAGGGAGUUAAACUUGCCUGGCAAUGGUUUAUCCAACAGCAGGGGAAUGUGGGAAGUCCUGGCGCAUUCGGGAGCAGAGGGGAGCAGAGAGACGGCUGGAGGUAGUCAGGGGUUCAACCACAAGGAGCGCAUGUGCCAGGCCACAGAGAGCUAGAGGGUUGCCUGGGCAAGGGAACGGCGAAACAAGGUCUGACUUAGGGACAGAGCUGGUGGCAAAGCAGAGAAAGGCCUCUAUCACCAAAAUGGCCUCAGGGGACCUAGUUGUUCACUUCAAGGUAGAAAACAUUAAUUUCAAAAAGGAGCCCAGAAGUCUUUAGGUAGCACAGAAGCUCAGUCCUAGAAGAGGUGUCCUGGGAUCUGCCCACACUAUCCCAUCCCCCAAGCCCCUCUGGACACCCCCAACCUGCAGGUGGACCCGUCCUUCACUCCAGGACACCCCUAGCUAGCCUCUCCCCACCCAGCAGGAAGUCCACUCAGCCUGCCACUCAAGAGCCCCACCCAGGGCCCCUGGUCUUCUGGAAGGACUCACCAGGCUACUGGCUUUCCCUCUGCUUCCCCAAGGAUUCCAGGCCUCCCUCUUCCUAUCAGCCCCUCCGCUCAACAAAAGAGCCAGGUCCGUCUCUCAGGGUGGUGUUGGUGGGAAGGGGUGGAGUUUUGAUCCUCCCCCUUAGUUUUGGAAGCCCUGACUUUAAGAAAUACCAAAUGCAAGGACUGAAAAAAAAUCCUUCUUAAAUGAAGUUUCUCUAACAAAUGAAAUUUAAAACUCACUCUCCCCUUGAACAGCCAAAUUCUAGGAGCAGAAAGUCGCAUGAGACAGGGAGAGUUUGGUCAGUUAAUUUGCACCUGAAAGUGCUCUCUAAUGUUUGUGUGGGGCCACACGUGCACAGAAGGGACCACUCAGCUCAGGAAAGGGGAGGAGAGGGUCCUUCUGGACUUACCCAAGGGGCCCUGAAAUGGCUGAUGAAAUGAUGUAUUUGAAAGCUCUGUAAAAUAUAAACUUAAAACCUUAAAUGUAAGAUGUUGUUAUUAUUACUGUUGUUGUUGUUACUGACGUGCCAAAAGGCCUUUGUAGAAGAUAACGUGGCCUUUCAACCUCACUUUGUGACUAGAAAGCACUAAUUUCAAGAUGGAGCCCAGAAAUCCGUAUGGUAGCUCAGAAGCUCAGCUCUGGAGGGAGCGUGGUGUUUCAGAAAGAGGAAGAGAGGGGCGAAAAAGAAAGGAGAUUUCCCAGAACCAGAGAAAGAGAGGGCAGGAGCCUUCAGGUGACACCCAGAACCCAGGAAUGGUCAGGACUGGCAUGGAGCCAAACUGGCCCUUCACCUGAGAUGAAACUCUCACCAGACUGAACCUAAGGCCAAGCAGUCAGCCACUGCCUCUGCAGGAAGCAGAAGCCCAUGGCAGCAAGUGACCUGCCCCCCUAAAGACUCACGGGACCCCAGUACCAGAGCUGGACCCUUGGGUUUGCUGGGAGAGGGAAGACUAAGGAUCAGAGAAAUGAAAGGAGUAGAGACCGCAGGGCAGACCAAGGUCAUAUGACUAAUGAACACCAGAGUCAGAAAGAGAGCCAGGUGUCACCCGGGCACGGUUCUCUCUGUCACAGCAGAGUGGAGGUCCAGGCAGAGGGAAGCCUAGGACAGAUCCGGUAGCACAGCGGCGUCCGGCGCCUUCCCUGAUGCCACCUCCUGGUGCACUCCCAGAUGGUCAGGAAGCUGGGCACAGUCCGCUUUGGUGGCACGUCUUCUAGUGUGGCUUAAACAGUGCCAAAGGCAGCACCCCAGAAGGUCUAGCAGGAGCAGGAAAAGUGGGCGUUUGGCCAAGCAGAUUUCUCCAGCUCGCCACGGGUUCUAAUAGAAAAAGUUUUAACACUUUUAAAAAAUGAUGUCACAGCGUGGUUCCCCUGUGUGGGGUAAAUAACAUGCUUUCCUUUUCCCCACAGACUGUCAUUUUCUGAUGUCAUUGAAAUAAAUGGAUGAGUCACAGAGAAGCUACCAGAUGCUCUCGUGAACCCCCAACUCAG